rnacentral:rRNA from 1 species
GAUGAACGCUGACAGAAUGCUUAACACAUGCAAGUCGACUUGAACUUCGGUUUGGGUGGCGGCCGGGUGAGUAACGCGUAAAGAACUUGCCUCACAGCUAGGGACAACAUUUGGAAACGAAUGCUAAUACCUGAUAUUAUGAUUUUAGGGCAUCCUAGAAUUAUGAAAGCUAUCUGCGCUGUGAGAGAGCUUUGCGUCCCAUUAGCUAGUUGGAGAGGUAACGGCGCACCAAGGCGAUGAUGGGUAGCCGGCCUGGGAGGGUGAACGGCCACAAGGGGACAGAGACACGGCCCGUACGCAAUCGGGAGGCAGGAGUGGGGACUAGUGGAAGAUAGACCAAGAGUCUGAUCAAGCAAUUCUGUGUGUAAGAUGAAGUUUUUCGGAAAGUAAAGUGCUUUCAGUUGGGAAGAAAAAAAUGACGGUACCAACAGAAGAAGUGACGGCUAAAUACGUG